rnacentral:tRNA from 1 species
GUCGGGAUAGCUCAGCUGGUAGAGCAAAGGACUG